CCCGGGCGGAGGCGCUGUUCAGCAGCGAUGUGCCGAUGUCCGCGGCACCGGGCGCCGAGGAGAUCGCCGCGGCCGUGCGGCGGUCCGUCCGCGCCCA
rnacentral:tRNA from 1 species